rnacentral:miRNA from 1 species
GCUGUUGCGGUCAUGUUG